UACGGGGGGGGCAAGCGUUGUUCGGAAUUACUGGGCGUAAAGGGCUCGUAGGUGGCCAACUAAGUCAGACGUGAAAUCCCUCGGCUUAACCGGGGAACUGCGUCUGAUACUGGAUGGCUUGAGUUCGGGAGAGGGAUGCGGAAUUCCCAGUGUAGCGGUGAAAUGCGUAGAUAUUGGGAGGAACACCAGUGGCGAAGGCGGCUCACUGGACCGGAACUGACGCUGAGGCGCGAAAGCGUGGGGAGCAAACGGG
rnacentral:rRNA from 1 species